GCAAGUCGAACGAGAACGGGUAUUAGUUUACUACUACUGUCAGCUAAGUGGCGCACGGGUGAGUAAUAUAUAGUCAACCCGCCUUCAAGAAGAGAAUAAUUGCUGGAAACGGCUUGUAAUGCUCUAUAUGCCUUUAUGACAUAAGUCAGCAAGGGAAAUGCUUUAGUGCUUGAAGAUGGGACUGUACGGUAUCAGAUAGUUGGUGAGGUAAUGGCUCACCAAGUCGAUGACGCCUAGCUGGUUUGAGAGGAUGAUC
rnacentral:rRNA from 1 species